AUCAUCGUUCCAUGGCUCUUGUUCGGUCAGAUCUCCCUCCAGAAGACUCAAAACACUUUGUAAAGGCUGGUGACAUCUAGUGGAAGCAAUAGGAAGUGCCAAAAUAUUCCUCAGCCCCUGUGUUUUUCAAUGGGAUAGGUUUAAAGGUAAUACAACACAUCAGGUAUCCACUUCCUGUCAGAAAAUGUCUCAGGGUUUUGCCUGCCAAAUGAGUUCUGUUAUACUCACAGACACCAUUCAAACAGUUUUAGAAACUUUAGAGUGUUUUCUAUCCAUAUAUAAUAAGUAUAUGCAUAUUCUAGUUACUGGGUAGGAUUAGUAACCAGAUUAAAUCGGGUACAUUUUUUUUAUCCAGACGUGCAAAUGCUGCCCCCUAGCCCUAACAGGUUAAUGCCUUCAACAUGUUGUUUAGAGCACAAUUACUCUAACAUCUAUCCUUUUUCAUAUGAUUCAGUAACCAAUAAAGCAAGUAGCUCCUAGACUUAACCCAUCUGCAUGUAUGUCUACAGUGGAAUCUAGUCUCUCUCUCUCUUUAGCUCCGCUUCCUCUGUUAUGGUGUUUUCAAGCUCACCCAUUACAUGGUGUUUUCAAGCUCACCCAUUACAUGGUGUUUUCAAGCUCACCCAUUACAUGGUGUUUUCAAGCUCACCCAUUACAUGGUGUUUUCAAGAUCACCCACUAUGCAGCUGGACCUUACUUCUUGUGAGAAUUAUGCACCCACCGAAGAGAGACAUGACAAUCUUUACCACUGCAGGUGCUGUAAGGAGUACCGUAUGUGUGGACCAGACCAAAUCUAUCCCAACACCCCCUCCUGGUGUAUCUGGAUGUUCACUCAAUCUCCAGAAGUCAGCCCAUGCCAUUGGUUAUCUCUGUUUUUACCUGAGGAUAUACACACAGCAACACAUGGGUUAUUUCCUGACAACAUCAUUUGUGAUAUUUGAAUAAACGCAUCCCCUGUCCUCCCAUCAAUCUCCCAGUUACCAGUUACCAAUCCAUUUGGCAUGAGUCUUCAUAAACUGAUAUCCCAACAAUGCUACUAAAGUGACCGCUGCUACUACUAAUAUGGUCCAUGCCUAUAAUCUCCUUCAAAUGCGAUCCCUUCGGCAACUGCCGUGAGAAUAACUACUGUCUGUAAUCUAUCAAGUGUUCGCCGGCUGUUAGAAAUUGGGAAAGAGAUUAAUGAGUUGGAAGAAUAUUCAACCUACAUAUCAUUCCAUCUAACCCAUAACACACUAGUCACUACUCCUAAUGCACUUUUACAGUUAUAAACAUACUAAUACAUUCUCAAAUCAUUAAGUCAAUUUACAUCAAUCCCUCCUCUGGAACAAUGAUCACUCUCAUGUUCCACAACACUUUAAAACACAUUGACUUAACAAGAAAAGAGAAAAAAUACAAAUAAAUAGUUGUUUAAUAACCUCCCACUACUCUUAAUGCAACUAAAACUGGGGGAAAAACGUCCAUCCGUUACGUUCUAUGUCCAUGUUAUGCUGGUCUUCAUGCCGUCUCCUUCAUCUCCAUCAUUGGGUGUUAUAACAAAACACAGACUAUAAACCUUAUAUGCAAUUACUUGUAUUCUAUCACCCAGACAUCUCUAUUCAUCAAUUCAAUGUAACAUUAAAAUUAUAAUGACAUAAUAAAACAAAAUAAACAAAAACCUUUAUGUUAACCCAAGCUAUCAUCCAGUAAGUUCUAACAAUUUAGAGAUAAAGUUUCCAGAGCUUCCCUAGGCCUAAUACAUUUAAACAGUGCCAAUAACCCUCACCUGUUCAAAAGCAACUCUCUCUUGCUUUAUCCAAAUCAUAACUAAAACAUUUUAUAAAUUAUCCAGCCCAAAUUCAGAAUAACAGUCUUUACUUUAACUCAAAUUCAAACUUCUCAAUUUAGCCCACAUCAUCCCUAUUAAAAUGUACAUUUAUAAAAUAAAAAAUCAACUUUUAGUACAAGUAAUAACUAUUCUCAUUACAGCCCCCUUUGUUCUUGUUUUCCUGUCAUGAGUGGCCUGGUAAUGAAAGAUCAGUAACUCAAUGCAUACUUUAGUCCAAACUGUUGGAAGUGUGUAGACUCAGAAGUGCUAAAAGUCACUGUCGUAUUGCACGCCCUUGUCGCUCUUUCUCCAGCCGGUUAGGGAGGGCUUUGAGGUAUACACACACUGUUUGUGGUCAAAUUAUUCCUACCAUGCAUUAAGACACAAUCUGACGUCACCUUCCAUGAUAACUCCUUUAUUCUACUGGUGACCUCUCAGAUGGCGGAUAAUUGGUCAUACAUCCCCGGUUUCAUUCAUGAAUCUCUGUUGCAUUAACCCAAUGAUGUCAUUAAUCCAAUCCACAUUUUUAUUUAUUGUCAACUACCAAAAGAACGUUGUGGUAAAGUCUUCACCUAUUUGAUUCAUAGCUUUGUAUUCAUCUGGAACUUCCCUGAGGAUGCCAAUAGCAUCCAUCUAGACAAAGCUACUCCCAUCCUGGUCAAAACUCCUCCUGUGCCUACUUUAGCCACCUAUAACUGGCCUCUGAUAACUAACUCGAACUGGUUGGACCAAUAACCCCAGGGGGCAAGUUCCUAACCACCCUUUGUGGUAAUUUCUGUUGUAUGCGUCCUUUGCUGGUACUAGCCCACCCUACAUCAGUUAUAGGUGCUGUGAGGUUAAGAAUUUUCUCCUGUACUUUCAAACCUAAGUCAGUCACAUUAACGAUUACCUUUCAGCCAUUAAAAUCAUCUAAGUUCUCUGUGCCAUUCUUGUAUCUAUAACACUGGUACUCAUCAGGAGUUAAGGUGAACCGAGGUGGGUUGGCUGAGUACUUCAAUCUGGCCAACCCCAAUUCCUGUACAGUUGUCUGCUUCCCCAGGAAAUUGUUAAAUGUUUGCCUUAAACCUACAUCCUGAUCUUCCUUGAUUCCUCAUUCUGUACAUCACUCAUCAGUGUAUUAUAUAGUUUAUCUUUUCAUUCUUAUAAAUGACAACAGUGUCGUAUGAUUAGUACCGGAAGGUGGUGGAUCUGAAUGUAUCAGAAAGAUUACCAAGACUAUGAUGCAGCUCAGAGUCUCUACUCUUCCCAAAAACCGCCAACUCUCUCCUGCCCUUAGUCGAUCUGCCAGGUACCACCCCAUACUCACACCUCUCGGAGCACACACAGUGAUGAACGGUCGGGAUAGGUAAUCUUCGUUGAGGAGGUAACCCCCGGACCCGGUUGGUACCCGGUUCUUCUCCUAACUCUGUGUGUGAUCAACAGUGCUCAUAUGUGUACAUACCUUCUUGCAGUGGAUAAUGUGGACCCAAGUGACUCUCUCAGUUUUUCUAAUGGCAAAGGCAGAACCUGGUAUGGGCCUGCCCAACGGGGCUGCAUCCAGUCUUUUCUCCUCAGGGAAUGGAUCCACACCCAGUCUCCUGGUUGGAUUGAGUGAAUCACCUUCUCCUGUAAUUCACCUGUUGGACACAAAAUCUUGGACAUACGGGUUUGGUUAACAAACAGUCUUCUCAUGUGCUCUGCUAGUAUUUCUUCAACUUCUAUGUUUACCUGUUCUGGUAUCUCUAACUCUGGCAUUCUAUUUGUUCAACCCGAUUAGCUAAAAUGUCAUCCAUCAUUUAAAGAGAUAGAUCCUAGUAAACCAACUCUAGGGAUAAUAUCUUGACCUCAUAUUUUAGUUACCAUAAUCAUGUCCACCAAGUAAGUUGGGAACACUUCUACCCAUUUGCUAUACUUAUCUAUUAUUGUUAAACACCCCUUCUUCCCCUCUCUUCGGAGUAGUUCAAUAAGGUCCAUUUCCAAAUGUUGGAGUGGAUAUUCUACCCCCAAUUUUUUUAAAGUAAUUAUCCUCUAUGCCAUUAAGUAGUUCUCCA
rnacentral:lncRNA from 1 species